GGCCUUCGGGUUGUAAAGCUCUUUCGGCCGGGAAGAAAUCGCAUAGGCUAAUACCCUGUGUGGAUGACGGUACCGGAAUAAGAAGCACCGGCUAACUACGUGCCAGCAGCCGCGGUAAUACGUAGGGUGCGAGCGUUAAUCGGAAUUACUGGGCGUAAAGCGUGCGCAGGCGGUUUAGUAAGACAGGCGUGAAAUCCCCGGGCUCAACCUGGGAACUGCGCUUGUGACUGCUAAGCUAGAGUACGGCAGAGGGGGGUGGAAUUCCACGUGUAGCAGUGAAAUGCGUAGAGAUGUGGAGGAACACCGAUGGCGAAGGCAGCCCCCUGGGCCGAUACUGACGCUCAUGCACGAAAGCGUGGGUAGCAAACAGGAUUAGAUACCCUGGUAGUCCACGCCCUAAACGAUGUCAACUAGGUGUUGGGAGGGUAAAACCUUUUAGUACCGGAGCUAACGCGUGAAGUUGACCGCCUGGGGAGUACGGCCGCAAGGUUAAAACUCAAAGGAAUUGACGGGGACCCGCACAAGCGGUGGAUGAUGUGGAUUAAUUCGAUGCAACGCGAAAAACCUUACCUACCCUUGACAUGUCCAGAAGCUCUUAGAGAUUUGAGUGUGCCCGAAAGGGAGCUGGAACACAGGUGCUGCAUGGCUGUCGUCAGCUCGUGUCGUGAGAUGUUGGGUUAAGUCCCGCAACGAGCGCAACCCUUGUCGUUAAUUGCCAUCAUUUAGUUGGGCACUUUAACGAGACUGCCGGUGACAAACCGGAGGAAGGUGGGGAUGACGUCAAGUCCUCAUGGCCCUUAUGGGUAGGGCUUCACACGUCAUACAAUGGUCGGUACAGAGGGUUGCCAAGCCGCGAGGUGGAGCCAAUCCCAGAAAGCCGAUCGUAGUCCGGAUUGCAGGCUGCAACUCGCCUGCAUGAAGUCGGAAUCGCUAGUAAUCGCGGAUCAGCAUGUCGCGGUGAAUACGUUCCCGGGUCUUGUACACACCGCCCGUCACACCAUGGGAGCGGGUUCCGCCAGAAGUAGGUAGCCUAACCGCAAGGGGGGCGCU
rnacentral:rRNA from 1 species